rnacentral:rRNA from 1 species
AUUGAACGCUGGCGGCAGGCCUAACACAUGCAAGUCGAACGGUAACAGAAAGCAGCUUGCUGCUUUGCUGACGAGUGGCGGACGGGUGAGUAAUGUCUGGGAAACUGCCUGAUGGAGGGGGAUAACUACUGGAAACGGUAGCUAAUACCGCAUAACGUCGCAAGACCAAAGAGGGGGACCUUCGGGUCUCUUGCCAUCGGAUGUGCCCAGAUGGGAUUAGCUAGUAGGUGGGGUAACGGCUCACCUAGGCGACGAUCCCUAGCUGGUCUGAGAGGAUGACCAGCCACACUGGAACUGAGACACGGUCCAGACUCCUACGGGAGGCAGCAGUGGGGAAUAUUGCACAAUGGGCGCAAGCCUGAUGCAGCCAUGCCGCGUGUAUGAAGAAGGCCUUCGGGUUGUAAAGUACUUUCAGCGGGGAGGAAGGGAGUAAAGUUAAUACCUUUGCUCAUUGACGUUACCCGCAGAAGAAGCACCGGCUAACUCCGUG